AUGGACGCGCUGGAUGGCACGCAAGUGAUUGCCUGCGGAAACCGGGAGCAGUCGCCGGCCAGCAAGCAGCAACACGCCCAGCCGCCGCGGAUCUACGCGGGGGCCAGCGCGGGCGGAGCCGGUGGAGGUCCAGCCAAGAAGCGGCAGCAACUCCAAGAAGGCGGGCCCCAAGAAGACGGUGAAGCGCCCGAGUUCCCGCCGGAUCUCCGCCCGGCACGCCCAGAUCCGGCGCCGCGGGGCCGGAUCUCGGGCCGGCCGGAGGCGGGCGCACAGCAAGAUCCAGCAAGGUACCAAGAGAAAGAGAGAGAGAGAGAGGUUGGUUACCGUGGCGAGCGAGCGAGCGAGCGAGCUCGGAGGAGGCUGAGACGGGCGACGGGAGGGGAGGACGGAGGAGAGGAGAUGCGAUCGGAGGAGGAGGAGGGGGAAGGUGGUGGUGGUGGUGGGGGAGGCGCUGGCUAUAACUGCUGCCGCUCUGGACUGGAUCUCGCUCGCAGACGCACACACACUGCUGUCGGCCUGCUGACGCGGAGCCACAAGCAGAAAUUCCUACCCUUUUCCUCUCCCCAUCCAUCCAUUCUUUGA
rnacentral:rRNA from 1 species